rnacentral:rRNA from 1 species
CAAUAGCGUAUAUUAAAGUUGUUGCAGUUAAAAAGCUCGUAGUUGGAUUUCUGGUCGGAAGCUCCUGUCCUCUGAUGAGCGUACAAGUGCGUCCUACCAUCCUUCUGUUAACCUUUAAGGCUUUCGCGGCUUUCUAGGGGCUCAGAUAUUUUACCUUGAGAAAAUUAGAGUGUUUCAGGCAGGCUAGCGCCGGAAUACAUUAGCAUGGAAUAAUGGAAUAGGACUUUUGCCUCUUCUGUUGGUCAUGAGGCUCGAGUAAUGAUUAAUAGGGAUAGUUGGGGGCAUUAGUACUUAACUGUCAGAGGUGAAAUUCUCGGAUUUGUUAAAGACUAACUUAUACGAAAGCAUUUGCCAAGGAUGUUUUCAUUAA